rnacentral:rRNA from 1 species
CCUACGGGAGGCAGCAGUGGGGAAUAUUGGGCAAUGGGCGCAAGCCUGACCCAGCAACGCCGCGUGAAGGAAGAAGGCUUUCGGGUUGUAAACUUCUUUUCUGAGGGACGAAGAAAGUGACGGUACCCCAGGAAUAAGCCACGGCUAACUACGUACCAGCAGCCGCGUUAAUACGUAGGUGGAAAGCGUUAUCCGGAUUUAUUGGGUGUAAAGGCCGUGUAGGCGGGAAAGAAAGUUAGAUGUGAAGACUCAGUGCUCAACCCUGAGCCUGCAUUUGAAACUGUUUUUCUUGAGUGCUGGAGAGGCAAUCGGAAUGCCGGGUGUAGCGGUGAAAUGCGUAGAUAUACGGAGGAACACCAGUGGCGAAGGCGGAUUGCUGGACAGUAACGGACGCUGAGGCGCGAAAGCGUGGGGAGAAAACAGGAUUAGAUACCCUGUAGUC